rnacentral:rRNA from 1 species
GCGCGCGUAGGCGGUUUUUUAAGUCUGAUGUGAAAGCCCACGGCUCAACCGUGGAGGGUCAUUGGAAACUGGAAAACUUGAGUGCAGAAGAGGAAAGUGGAAUUCCAUGUGUAGCGGUGAAAUGCGCAGAGAUAUGGAGGAACACCAGUGGCGAAGGCGACUUUCUGGUCUGUAACUGACGCUGAUGUGCGAAAGCGUGGGGAUCAAACAGGAUUAGAUAC